rnacentral:rRNA from 1 species
GGUCAAGCGAAUAAGCGCACACGGUGGAUGCCUAGGCGGUCAGAGGCGAUGAAGGACGUGGUAGCCUGCGAAAAGUGUCGGGGAGCUGGCAACAAGCUUUGAUCCGGCAAUGUCCGAAUGGGGAAACCCACUGCUUCGGCAGUAUCCUGCAGUGAAUUCAUAGCUGCUGGAAGCGAACCCGGUGAACUGAAAUAUCUAAGUAACCGGAGGAAAAGAAAUCAACCGAGAUUCCCUGAGUAGUGACGAGCGAACGGGGAACAGCCCUUAAGCUGGAAUGGCUUUAGAAAAACAAUCUGGAAAGAUUGGCCAUAGAAGGUGAUAGCCCUGUAUUUAAAAGGGCCACUCCAGUGAAGACGAGUAGGGCGGGGCACGUGAAACCCUGUCUGAAUAUGGGGGG